GCACUAGUCGGGGAGCUAGCGGUGCCCUUUUCCCGCAAUCCGCUACAGCGGGGAUGAAUCCCCGGCCUAGGGUGUGCAAUGUGUCGUCUGACACCGGCAAGCAGUGUUGACGAUCCGGUCUCACGCAACGGAAACCCGUGAACCAUGUCAGGCGGGGAACCGAGCAGCAUUAAGCGGUGCUUUUCGUGUGCCGUGAGGGUGCCGGGUCCGAGCCGGCUACCGGCGUAGCGGGCAUAUCGCAUUAUUCGAAGUCGGGU
rnacentral:SRP_RNA from 1 species